CAGUACCCCCCAUUUUAUCGGCGGUCGUGGAUAAAUUGACGAAUGGCGGAGUUUGACAAAUUUUAUACAGCAGUUGCUGUACACAAUGGAUGUCUCCAGGAGAAUCAAGAAAACAUUCAAGCUGCCUAGUUUAUACAGAGAUGUACAACUUUAUUCAUAUUUUAAACAAUCACAUCUAGAAAUCCUUGAGGUUCACAAAUGUUUUAGGGCAAAUAAGUUUGCUUUUUGACCUGUAUGCAUUGGAUCGAAAUGAAUAGGUAGCAAUUUCCAAACCAAAAAAAAAAGCACUGUUUCUUUAGAAGAAACAGAAAGUGAAUGUACAGUUACAAUAUAGUGUUCAGCCAACGUGUAGAGGCUUUGCUAAGGAUUGAAGUGUGGUUCAACCUGAAGAUACAGAAUGGCUUUAACACUUAGGAGAAAAUGGCUGUUCCAUAAGAAACAUAACACUGCAUGACUACAU